CUCCUCUCCCGUGCGCUCUCUCUCUCUCUCUCUCUCUCUCUCUCUGUAUAUCUCUUGGUGCUCUUCCCUCCGACGCAACCAGCACACACACAUACAUACACACACACUACAACCCCCACACCACCAUUGCUGCCACUAGGACCCUUUUUCUCCCUCACAUUCUGCUCUCACUCUUUCUCAUCCCUUGACACUGUGCAGUCACGGCGUGGUGACUCCGGUGAGAUCUUGAACCUUCCGACUAAGGUAAGCACCUUAGAUUCCCCUUUAGUUUGUGUUUUAGGGUAGAUCAGGGUAUUUUAAGACAUUGUGGGGUGGUUUGGAUGUAGAAAUAUAUCGGGUCCGACGAGUGACCAUGAGUGUCUGGCCAUUUUCCGACCGAUCCCGACGUCAAUGUCGCUUCAUUUUGGUGCAUCGGUUGAAGGUGAUGUAGCCUAUCUUAGUACGAGCGGCCCUCCAGUAUUAGAAUACAGACAUAGUGAAGAAGAGUACGACCCGAGCUUUGAGGCUUUUCCAUACCAGUGACUCUAUUUGCUUUCAUCUAUGUGGCAUUAGGAUAUCUGGAUUGGGGCGUGUCAGAUAUCAAAAAUGCAUUUCUGCAUGGUGACUUACAGGAAGAGGUGUAUACGAAACAGCCUCAAGGGUUUGCUGAUCAAACUAAACCCAAUUAUGUCUACAAGUUGAUCAAAUCCUUAUAUGGGUUAAAACAAGCUCCUCGAGCAUGGAAUUCAAAGUUCACAAGCUAUUUACCAACUUUGGGAUUUGUUGCAUCUUCAUAUGAUACAAGUUUAUUUGUGAAAAGUGAUGACAAGGAUGUUGUUGUUCUUUUACUAUAUGUGGAUGACAUCAUUUUGACAGGAUUGAAUGCUACUAAAGUUCAACAAGUUAUUGAAGAUUUGGCAGGUGUUUUUGAAUUGAAGGAUAUGGGAAGACUUACAUACUUCUCGAGUCUCCAUAUUCAUUACAAGGAGAAUGUGGACAUAUUUGUGAAUCAAUCAAAGUAUGUUAAAGAUCUUAUUCACAAAGCUGGAAUAGAGUCUUGCUAACCGGUAAAUACUUCAUGCAAGCCACACAAUCAAAUGUUAUUGAAUGAGGGUAAACCAUUGCAGGAUUCUACAUUGUACAGAAGUUUGGUUGGUUCAAUGCCUAGCCUUUACACCCCCAGAUAUAGCUUAUGCUGUGAAUUUAGUUUGUCAAUUUAUGACUACUCCAACAAAUGUGCAUCUAGCCUUUAUGAAAAGAAUUAUUAGAUAUCUUCAAGGUAUUGUAGAAUGUGGAAUCACAUAUUCAGUUGAUACUAAUAUUCAUUUAACAUCAUUCUCUUA